UCUCGUAUACAGAACCAGUGGCAGGCUCAGAAAAGCCUCAGAGAAAGCUGGCUGUUCUGAGAAGCAAUUCCCAUUGUUGCAUUCGCUAAAACUUCUGGGCCCCUGAGGUAUACAUGGGAGUGUCUGAGUUGUGACAGAAAGGAGUGGGUGUUAACCAUCACCAGAGCUGGAUCAGCACAGAAACAUGGAUCUGCUGUGGUGGCCGGUGCUGCAAUCCAGGGAAAAGGGAAAGCUGCCUUGUGGUGGUGGAGGGGCUUUUUCCUGUCAGAGGAACUCGUUUCUUCUGCCGCGAGCGAGGAUCUCCGGAGAGAAAGCAAGCUGAAAACGUCUUUGAGCAGCCUCUUCUGUUCCGCCCUCCUGGUGCCGCUUGAAAAUGAGAAGAAAAGGGUGGGGGGGGUGGAAGAUUAAAAAAAAUAAUAAAGA